UACGUAGGGGGCUAGCGUUGUCCGGAAUCAUUGGGCGUAAAGCGCGUGUAGGCGGUCCGGUAAGUCCGCUGUGAAAGUCGGGGGCUCAACCCUCGGAUGCCGGUGGAUACUGUCGGGCUAGAGUGCGGGAGAGGCGAGUGGAAUUCCUGGUGUAGCGGUGAAAUGCGCAGAUAUCAGGAGGAACACCAAUGGCGAAGGCAGCUCGCUGGGACGGUACUGACGCUGAGGCGCGAAAGCGUGGGGAGCAAACAGG
rnacentral:rRNA from 1 species